UGGGGAAUAUUGCGCAAUGGGCGGAAGCCUGACGCAGCCACGCCGCGUGUGUGAUGAAGGCCUUCGGGUCGUAAAGCACUGUUUGGAGGGAAGAAGACCUGACGGUACCUCCCAAGAAAGCACCGGCUAACUCCGUGCCAGCAGCCGCGGUAAUACGGAGGGUGCAAGCGUUGCUCGGAAUCACUGGGCGAAAAGGGUACGCAGGCGGCUCAUUAAGUCGGGAGUGAAAGCCCAGGGCUCAACCCUGGAAUUGCGCUCGAUACUGGUGGGCUUGAGUACGGGAGAGGGAAGCGGAAUUCCUGGUGUAGAGGUGAAAUGCGUAGAUAUCAGGAGGAACACCAGUGGCGAAAGCGGCUUCCUGGCCCGAUACUGACGCUCAUGUACGAAAGCGUGGGGAGCAAACAGGAUUAGAUACCCCGGUAGUCC
rnacentral:rRNA from 1 species